UACGUAGGUGGCAAGCGUUGUCCGGAUUUACUGGGCGUAAAGAGCUCGUAGGCGGUUGGGUAAGUCGGGUGUGAAAACUCCAGGCUCAACUUGGAGAUGCCACCCGAUACUGCUCUGACUUGAGUUCGGUAGGGGAGUGGGGAAUUCCUGGUGUAGCGGUGAAAUGCGCAGAUAUCAGGAGGAACACCGGUGGCGAAGGCGCCACUCUGGGCCGAAACUGACGCUGAGGAGCGAAAGCGUGGGUAGCAAACAGG
rnacentral:rRNA from 1 species